rnacentral:rRNA from 1 species
UACGAAGGGGGCUAGCGUUGCUCGGAAUUACUGGGCGUAAAGGGCGCGUAGGCGGGUCGUAAGUAGGGGGGUGAAAGCCCAGGGCUCAACCCUGGAAUUGCCUUCUAAACUGGCGACCUUGAGUAUGGCAGAGGUGUGUGGAACUCCGAGUGUAGAGGUGAAAUUCGUAGAUAUUCGGAAGAACACCAGUGGCGAAGGCGACACACUGGGCCAUUACUGACGCUGAGG